rnacentral:lncRNA from 1 species
GGGAGGGUCAUGCAUGAGGCUUGUGGAUUGCGGGAUGUUGGCUUGGUCCAAGCCCAAGCUAGGUUCUGCCGAGGCUUGUGGGCCGAGUCAAGUAUCGGCCAUUAAAGUUUUGUGGAAGACAGGUGGAUAACAGGAGGAACUCAUCUGCACUUCGAUGGAGGUCUUUUAAUACCAUUUAUGUGCACCAAUUUUUUUAGUAAAAAUUCAUGUGCACCAAUUUAAGAUGCAUCAAAUUUCCUUGACAUUGACUUUGUUAUCCGGGGAUAUCCUGGGUUACAUGUUCCAAUGGUACAGCAUCUGAGGAAGAGCAUCAAUUUGUAAGCCCAUUUGCUUUUGUCAUGUUAGUCUGCCUUAUCUCUGCUUGUGGUUAUAUGCAAUCAAGUUGAAUCAUUUGAACGCAUGUUCUUGUACCUCUUUUAUUUCACUUGAGAUAAUUUUGUAGUUCUUGUACCUUAAACUACAAACCGACAAUUUUCUCUCAAUAGACAUCUGAUGUAAUAAUAUUCGAUGCUUAUGUGAUAUUAAAAUUAAAAUAUAUAUAUAUUAAUAUGGUAUUUAUGUGUAUUUUUUUUUUCAUCGUAUUUUUCUAUCUUC